rnacentral:rRNA from 1 species
AGCAGCCGCGGUAAUUCCAGCUCCAAUAGCGUAUAUUAAAGUUGUUGCAGUUAAAAAGCUCGUAGUUGAAUUUCGAGACCGGCUUACUGGUCGUGCUAUUGUACGUACUGGUAUAAUCGGUUUCUCCUUUCUGACGAACUUUAAUGCCAUUAAUUUGGUGUUUUAGGGAAUCAGGACUGUUACUUUGAAAAAUUAGAGUGUUUAAAGCAGGCUCACGCUUGAAUACAUUAGCAUGGAAUAACGGAAUAGGACGUUUGAUCCUAUUUUGUUGGUUUCUAGGAUCGACGUAAUGAUUAGUAGGGAUAGUUGGGGGCAUUAGUAUUCAAUUGUCAGAGGUGAAAUUCUUGGAUUUAUUGAAGACUAACUACUGCGAAAGCAUUUGCCAAGGAUGUUUUCAUUAAUCAAGAACGAAAGUUAGGGGAUCGAAGACGAUCAGAUACCGUCGUAGUCUUAACCAUAAACUAUGCCGACUAGGGAUCGGAUGAUGUUAAUUUUUAAUGUACUCAUUCGGCGCCUUACG